ACAGGUAACAGGACAGGACAUCAGACUGGAGGAGUGUUCCAGGUCAGACAGGUAACAGGACAGGACAUCAGACUGGAGGAGUGUUCCAGGUCAGACAGGUAACAGGGAAGGACAUCAGACUGGAGGAGUGUUCCAGGUCAGACAGGUAACAGGACAGGACAUCAGACUGGAGGAGUGUUCCAGGUCAGACAGGUAACAGGGAAGGACAUCAGACUGGAGGAGUGUUCCAGGUCAGACAGGUAACAGGGAAGGACAUCAGACUGGAGGAGUGUUCCAGGUCAGACAGGUAACAGGACAGGACAUCAGACUGGAGGAGUGUUCCAGGUCAGACAGGUAACAGGACAGGGAAGGACAUCAGACUGGAGGAGUCUGUCAGUUUGUCAGAUGUUUUCAGCCCUUUAAAGUAGAGUGAUGUCAAGAUGAAACCACGUCCCACAACAUUGGUUGUGUAGAUCCAGUUAUGAAUGGAAAAGAUGAGCGCCGUCUAAGUUCCAGGUUUUUCUUCUGUGUUUAUCUUCAUUGUAAUUGGCCGUCUGUGUGUUAAGCAGGUUAUAUGGAUGGUGUGUG